GAUUGAUGCUGUUGGUUUGGUGCAAAAAUAAUUGCGGUGCUUCCCAUUUAAAAGUAAUGGCACACACUGCAAUUACUUUUGCUCCAACUUAAUACUU
ensembl:miRNA